rnacentral:rRNA from 1 species
UACGGAGGGUGCGAGCGUUGUCCGGAAUCACUGGGCGUAAAGGGCGCGUAGGUGGCGCGGCAAGUCAGCGGUGAAAGCCCGAGGCUCAACUUCGGGUCGGCCGAUGAUACUGCUGCGCUUGAGCACUGUAGAGGCAGGUGGAAUUCCGGGUGUAGCGGUGGAAUGCGUAGAGAUCCGGAAGAACACCCGUGGCGAAAGCGGCUCUCUGGGACGGUACUGACGCUGAGACGCGAAAGCGUGGGGAGCAAACAGG